rnacentral:rRNA from 1 species
GAUGAACGCUGGCGGCGUGCCUAAUACAUGCAAGUCGAACGAAACUUCUUUAUCACCGAGUGCUUGCACUCACCGAUAAAGAGUUGAGUGGCGAACGGGUGAGUAACACGUGGGCAACCUGCCCAAAAGAGGGGGAUAACACUUGGAAACAGAUUCUAAUACCGCAUAACCAUAGUUACCGCAUGGUAACUAUGUAAAAGGUUGCUAUACUACCGCCUCUGGAUGGGCCCGCGGCGCAUUAGCUAGUUGGUAGGGUAAAGGCUUACCAAGGCAAUGAUGCGUAGCCGAAUUGAGAGGUUGAUCGGCCACAUUGGGACUGAGACACGGCCCAAACUCCUACGGGAGGCAGCAGUAGGGAAUCUUCCACAAUGGGCGAAAGCCUGAUGGAGCAACGCCGCGUGAGUGAAGAAGGUCUUCGGAUCGUAAAACCCUGUUGUUAGAGAAGAAAGUGCGUGAGAGUAACUGUUCACGUUUCGACGGUAUCUAACCGGAAAGCCACGGCUAACUACGUG